GACAGAUGGUGCAGGCGUUAUUCGGAAUGAUUGGGCGUAAAGGGUACGUAGGCGGCGACCAGAGCUUAGCACGAAAUGCUGGGUGAUAACCUAGAAGAGGGCUUUAAGACUAGUUCGCUAAAAUAAAAAAGGAGUUAAUACCGGGUCGGAGGAAUUUCCGGCGGAAGGGUAAAAUCUCGCUAUUCCGGAAAGAACGCCAAAGGUGAAGACAUCCCUCUAGGGUUAACUGACGCUGAGGUACGGAAGAUAGGUAUCGAACAGG
rnacentral:rRNA from 1 species